UACGUAGGGUGCGAGCGUUAAUCGGAAUUACUGGGCGUAAAGCGUGCGUAGGCGGUUUGUUAAGACAGGUGUGAAAUCCCCGGGCUUAACCUGGGAAUUGCGCUUGUUACUGGCAGACUAGAGUACGUCAGAGGGGGGUGGAAUUCCACGUGUAGCAGUGAAAUGCGUAGAUAUGCGGAGGAACACCGAUGGCGAAGGCAGCCCCCUGGGUCAAGAUUGACGCUCAUGCACGAAAGCGUGGGGAGCAAACAGG
rnacentral:rRNA from 1 species